AUACGGUCAACAAGGCAGAGCGACAGCCUACAGAAUGGGAAAAGAUCUUCACCAACCCCACAUCUGACAGAGGACUAAUAUCCAGAAUAUAUAAGGAACUCAAGAAAUUAGACAUCAAAAUGCCCAACAGUCUAAUUAAGAAAUGGGCUAUAGAACUAAACAGAGAAUUCUCAACAGAGGAAACUCAAAUGGCUGAAAGACAUUUAAGGAAUUGCUCAACAUCCCUAAUCAUCAGGGAAAUGCAAAUCAAAACAACUCUCAGAUACCACCUUACGCCUGUCAGAAUGGCUAAGAUCAAAAACACUGAAGACAUCUUCCUUGUUUUAUACCAUGAUGCUUAGCCCAUUACAUCUCCAAUCUGCUGUUAGGACUCCACAGUUAGAAACUCUAAGGACUGGUUCAUGAUAUCUCUAAUGUUUAACACAAAAUUGGCUCACAGCUUUCAAUAAAUACUUGGAGGAUAAUUUGAGGGUUCAAAUGCUUCUAAUGAUAUAUGAUAUGGUUCACUUAGAACUCUACGGAUUUCAUCAUGCAAUAAAACACCCAAUAAAGGGUUAUAAAUAAUAAUAAUGAUAAUUCUGGGACUGAAGUGAAAAUUGGUCCAGUGACUUCAUAUUUGUAUGUUUGCUCUAAGAUCGUUUCCAUAUUUGAGGACUGAGAAUAACUCAGAACUCAUGAGGAAGGUUGUCAGGCACAAACAGAGAGGACAGCUAUCUUUAUCUGAGAUCCAAAGGUCAUCCAAGAAACAUGGGCCAGAAUCAUGGCCUUAUUUGGUAAAUGUAAGCAGGAUUGGCCUUGAAUGCAAACAAACCUAUUUGUAAAAACUGGAGCCACUGAGAGAGACACGUUACACAGGCUGAGUCACUUAUCAGGCUUUCAAGUUCUCAUCUAUAAACCACAGUUCAGGUCUAAAGAUUUUUAACAGGAUAUUUUGGGAGCCCAGAGCAAUGAGGAAGACUGGGAGGAGGCUUCCAGCCUGUGUACCAAGUGCAUAUGAAAAGGAGUGUAACCUGUCAUCACCCAGAGAAGCCGAGGAAGAAACUGCAGGGUUGUAUGGCAAGUUGAAGUCUUUUGCUGUUAGUGGGAAGACACACUUAUAAUCUGGGUAUCUGAGGUGAGAAGAUACACCUUGAAUCUGUGCCACACCUUCUGCCAGCCGCCUAUAUGAAGUACAUGGAAGAAGGAAGCUUUCUCUCACUUUUGCUAGCAAAUCUAUUCCUUCACUGACAUUGGAGCCUACUUCUUCAGGAUUCUGGCGUUUACUGAAGACCAGCUGAGACAUCCAGCUUCGAGACUGAACAACUACUGGGUUCUGGGACCUGUGUGUGUGUGUGUGUGUGUGUGUGUGUGUGUGUGUGUGUGUGUGUGUGUGUAUGCAUGUAUAUAUAUUCAUUUUAUAAGUUCUGUUCCUCUAGAGAACCCUGAUUAAUAUAUCAUUAGAGAAAAAUACAACCAAUCAAAAUGCAUAGUUCUAGAGCCUAGUCCCAAUGGAUACAUUUUAUAAAACAUUCCUGUAUCUGAGGCUCAGAGAUCAUUGCAGAAGAGGGAGUGGAAGGUUGUAAGAGCCAGAGGAACAGGGAGUUUGCUGUGAGAUUGUGUCUCCUAGAAAUUUUAGAAGCCACAGCCAUAAACUCUCACCAGCUUGGCUGCCUAAACAUGAGAUGGACAAGGACAGUAACAACAGACACGCUAAAGUAGACAGGGAAGCCCACAGGCCUCAACUCUACACAAAGAACUACAGGCUACUAAGGAAUGCUAAGAGUGGGAGAAACAGUCUUCCCCAAGGAAAAGCCCAGGAACUGGUGAUCAAAUACCAAAUAGUCAACCCUGAAAACACACAUACAAGUAAUAUUAUACAGAGUGAGCAGGUUGUAUUUAUAUAUUUAGGAGUAAAUAUGAAUAUGCAUAUAUGUAUGUAACAACAAUUAAUGGGGAAAAAAGAGGCUAUGUAUUUGAAAGAGAUAAAGGAUGGGAUUUGGAGGGAAGAAAGGGAAGGAGGAAUAAUGAAAUUACGGUCCUCAAAAUGGAAGAAAUAGUAACGAUAAAAGCGAUUCAGAGCUGGAGAGAUGGCAUAGCAGUGAAAAGUACUUGUUGCUCUUACAGAGGGUCUAGGUUCAGCUCCAGCACCCAUAUGGUGGUCCACAACCAUCAAUAACUCCAGUUCCAGGGAAUCUGACUCCCUCUUUUGAUCUCUCCUGGCAUCAGACAUGCAUGUGGUACACACACAUACAUGCAGUCAAGACACUCAUACACCUACAAUAAUAAACAAACAACAAACAAACAAAUAAAUAAAUAAACUGAAGGAAAGCAAUAAAAACAAAUAAAUUGUUCUCUAAGGAAAAAAAAACAAGCAAGAUUCUUUCAGUAUAAUGAAAGUAGAAAAUUCUUAAGGUUAUAUAAAGUGAUAUAAAAAGUGUGGCUUAUUGUCCAUUUGAAUUAAAGUAUAGAAAAUAACCAUUUUUAAUUUAGGCUCUUAUCCAGGUUGCAGAGAUGCACAGGAGAAAGCUACUGUGGCUUUCAGGAGGCUCCCUGAUCAGUGUAUCCUGAUGUAUUACUUCAUCUCUGCUUCCUGUCCAUAAAGAGUGAAGGGUGGCAGGCACUUCCAGAGCUACAGCCAGUGCUUAAAGAAGAUGCCUCAAAGACAAAGACCAGGAGAGGGCUACAAGUCUUCAUGCGUCCAACACAACCACCAUGCCUGGGUUAAAAGGGUCAUUUAGUAUUUUUAGUGGGUUGUUAAUACAUUUGGGAAUGGAGUCCAGGACCAUGACAACUGGAUCUUGACUUGCCUUCUGCUCCCAUCAGCUCCCAUCAAGGGGAAGCAUGCUUUGAAGCAGGCUCUGACACCAUCCCUAGAGUAACGGAAUUUUAAAAGUAUUUUUAAAUACUUUCUUUUAAUUAAAGAAAGCCUCUAGUGAAUUUUUAAAUAAUUUUUAUCACAUAUUAUUGCAGAGGUAGGUAGUAAAUUUAAUGAAACACAUAACCUCAAAUUUAAUAAAAAUUGUAAAAACAAGCAUAUUUAUUUGUUUUAUUACUAAAAUCUAGAUUGCUGCUAUGGCCAGCACAUAUAUUCCAUAAUUAAGAGUUUUAGCUUUAUCCUCACACAAAUAAGUCAACUGUUCCUUAUCAUAAAUUUACGAGGUUGAAUAAUGAACACACUUUUGUGUAUCUUUCCAUUUCCUAAGACUCUGUCCUGUCUUUUACUCUUUCUUAUCGAAACCAGCAGACAUCCUCCAUCUUUCUUCAAACCCUUGAUGGGGUUUUGAAGUUAAGGCGGAGCUGUGUGUGGGGUUAUCUCUCUCUGCUUCUUGCAGCCUGAGUCAAAUAGCUUAAGUGUAAGAGACACUAAAAGCAAAUAGCAUAUUGUCUCAUGCCUUCAGUUUGCCUUCCUUUUCUAAAUAAGAGCUGCAUUGUGCAGUGUGUCUGUGGAAUUUUGUAGCUUCCUACUGUGAGAGAAAUGCUGAAUAGACCUUUGCUGCUACUCACGUGUCCUGGACCUUUAAGAUAAAGGUGGCGCUUGGGUUUGAAGGCAGCUUCGGUGUGAACCGAGUGGGGGUGGGGUUGUGAAAACACUGAAUUCAA